AACGAACGCUGGCGGCGUGCCUAACACAUGCAAGUCGAGCGCGAAUAGGGGCAACCCUUAGUAGAGCGGCGCACGGGUGCGUAACACGUGGGUAAUCUGCCUGGAAGCUCGGGAUAACUAGCCGAAAGGUUAGCUAAUACCGGAUAAGCCCCCGGGGACUUCGGUCCUUGAGGGAAAAGAUGGCCUCUGUAUACAAGCUAUCACUACCAGAUGAGCCCGCGGCCCAUCAGCUAGUUGGCGGGGUAAUGGCCCACCAAGGCAACGACGGGUAGCUGGUCUGAGAGGACGAUCAGCCACACUGGAACUGAGACACGGUCCAGACUCCUACGGGAGGCAGCAGUGGGGAAUUUUGCGCAAUGGGCGAAAGCCUGACGCAGCAACGCCGCGUGUGUGAUGAAGGUCUUCGGAUUGUAAAGCACUUUCGACCGGGACGAAACUCCUUCACCUAAUACGUGGGGGCCUGACGGUACCGGGAGAAGAAGCACCGGCUAACUCUGUGCCAGCAGCCGCUGUAACAC
rnacentral:rRNA from 1 species